rnacentral:rRNA from 1 species
AUAGGUUUUUGCACCUGAUGGCGAAUGGCGAACGGGUGAGUAAUACAUUGGAACGUGCCCGGUCGUGGGGGAUAACGUAGCGAAAGUUACGCUAAUACCGCAAAAGAUUUUCGGAUGAAGGCGGGGGACCGUAAGGCCUCGCGCGAUUGGAGCAACCGAUGUUAGAUUAGGUAGUUGGUGGGGUAAAGGCUCACCAAACCGGCGAUUUAUAGCUGGUUUGAGAGGAUGAUCAGCCCCCCUGGGGCUGAGACCCGGCCCCGACUCCUACGGGAGGCAGCAGUGGGGAAUUUUGGGCAAUGGGCGCCAGCCUGAUCCCGCCCUUCCGCGUGCCGGAAGAAGGCCUUCGGGUUGUAAACUGCUUUUGUACAGAACGAAAAGCUUUGGGUUUAUUCCCCGGAGUCAUGGCGGUAA